AUUGAACGCUGGCGGAAUGCUUUACACAUGCAAGUCGAACGGCAGCAUAGGUGCUUGCACCUGAUGGCGAGUGGCGAACGGGUGAGUAAUACAUCGGAACGUGCCCAGUCGUGGGGGAUAACGUAGCGAAAGUUACGCUAAUACCGCAUACGAUCUAAGGAUGAAAGCGGGGGACCGUAAGGCCUCGCGCGAUUGGAGCGGCCGAUGUCAGAUUAGGUAGUUGGUGAGGUAAAGGCUCACCAAGCCGACGAUCUGUAGCUGGUCUGAGAGGGCGACCAGCCACACUGGGACUGAGACACGGCCCAGACUCCUACGGGAGGCAGCAGUGGGGAAUUUUGGACAAUGGACGCAAGUCUGAUCCAGCCAUUCCGCGUGCAGGACGAAGGCCAUCGGGUUGUAAACUGCUUUUGUACGGAACGAAAAAGCUCUUACUAAUACUAGGAGUCCAUGACGGUACCGUAAGAAUAAGCACCGGCUAACUACGUGCCAGCAACCGCCGUAA
rnacentral:rRNA from 1 species